CGCCCCAACAAUUCAGUCAGUUCCUGUACGCCGUCCACGGUGCAAAUACCGCAAAGAGAUCGAGUAAAACUAUUAAUUACUAUAAAAACGUACGCAACAAAUGCAAUCUCGAUAGCGAGGCAGACGGUGGGUGGCAAUGCUGCCAGUGUUGUAAACUGAUCGGCGUUCGCUUUGCAUGUGAAACGUGUUGUGUUGGUGUUGGUGCGUGAGGCCACUGCAGCGACAUAGAGUGAAGAGAACCUUUGAAUUGCUCGUUUUAUUACCUAUCAAUUAAAUCCCUUAAUUGUUUUUGGAGAGUGUGAAGAAACCCUUCUGAAAAUUGCGGUGUUGCAGUGUGUACUGAAAAUAUGGCUCAGGCCGGCGAAGUGAAUGAGUUUGAAAACGAUCACCGCAUUUUGAGUGAUUGGUCAAAUGUGAACAAUACCAACGGCACAAUGCAUCUCUCAAAGGAUAUGAUCUUCAAUGAUGGCCAUCGUCUAUCCAUCACGGUCUACAGCAUACUCUUUGUGAUCUCAACAAUUGGCAACAGCACUGUGCUCUAUCUGUUGACCAAACGCCGCUUGCGGGGUCCCUUGCGUAUUGACAUCAUGCUAAUGCAUUUGGCCAUUGCGGAUCUAAUGGUGACGUUCCUCCUGAUGCCGCUCGAGAUUGCGUGGGCCUGGACAGUACAGUGGCGUUCCACCGACUUAAUGUGCCGUCUCAUGAGUUUCUUUCGCGUCUUCGGACUGUACUUGUCGAGCUUCGUCAUGGUCUGCAUAUCGCUGGACAGAUACUUUGCCAUACUGAAGCCACUGCAGCGAUCCUACAAUCGGGGCCGCAUCAUGUUGGCCUGUGCUUGGCUGGGAUCCGUCAUCUGCAGCAUUCCUCAGGCCUAUCUCUUUCAUCUGGAGGAGCAUCCGAACGUCAAAGGCUACUUUCAGUGCGUCAUUUUCCAUUCGUUCGUCAGCGAAUUUCACAACUGGCUCUAUCAGAUGGCCACAAUGUGUGCCAUGUACGCAUUCCCAUUGAUUGCCUUCAUCUAUUGCUAUGGCGCCAUCUAUCUGGAGAUCUAUCGCAAGAAUCAGCGAGUGCUCAAGGAUGUGAUUGCCGAACGUUUCCGUCGCUCCAACGAUGAUGUGCUCAGCCGGGCCAAGAAACGCACUCUCAAGAUGACCAUCUCCAUUGUGAUUGUGUUCAUCAUCUGCUGGACUCCCUACUACUUCAUCUGCAUGUGGUACUCCUUGGACAAGUCCUCUGUCCACAAGGUGAACUCGUUGGUGCGCAAGGCGCUCUUCAUCUUUGCGUCGACCAAUUCGUGCAUGAAUCCCCUGGUCUACGGACUUUACAAUAUACGUGGACGCAUGAACAAUAAUAACAACACCUCGGUUAACAAUCGUCACACUUCGCUAUCGAAUCGCCUGGACUCGUCCAAUCAGUUGCUGCAGAAACCCAUCAGCAUGUUGCCCAAUGGAAAUGGAAAUGGCAAUGGCAAUGGCAACGGGAAUAGUCAUGGCAAUGCCAGUGCCAAUGGAAAUGGCAAUGUGGUGGCUGCUGCAGUGGCGGCUACCACAAAGCUGGCGCAUGUGGUGCGCUUAAAGACAAACGGUGCUGCAGGCGAGGCACCGUCUCCGAUUGCCUCAGCGCCCCCGGUCAUCAUGCUGAAUGUUAAUGACGACGUCAGCGUUGUCAACAUUAAAUGCCAGGAGCAAUCCGACCAUAGCAAAGCUGGCAAACAGACCAAGCAGCCCAAGACGCCCAUCAUCUGCCCGAAGUAAUGUCGUCUCGCUGCUGUUUUGCCUUUUUAUGACGCCCCAUCAUCAACUUCACUUUUCAUUUAGGUUUUCGCACAGUUGUCGGCAUAAAUUCCAGUGUUUAUGUUGCGGUCCAAAUCUAUAGACUCAUAGACAUAGACCCGCUAAGGUGUUGCAACAUAGCGUAUGGCAUGGUGCUUAGUGUUGCCACAAUAGAAAAGUGAUUUUGUGGUUAGCCUUCGAUAGUGGCAGGCGUGGGGUAAUCAUGCCUUUAAUAGUGUCUAAAAGCUGUUCAUGGGGCGAGGAUGCAAUUGUAAAACCAAAGAUUAAAUAAUCGUAAAUUGCUUAAGUCUUAGCAGAGAAAUAAUUAAUUAUCGAUUAGACAACUGUACGAAUACUUAAUAUGGUCAGAUUGAAAUUUUCUAGCAAAAAUCUAACGAAAAGGAAGCGUUCCUAAGACAGCUUUAUGAUAUAGGGCUUCACUUUAAGAAGAAUAUUUAAGCGAAAUGAAAUACAAAAUGUAUGAAUAAUGAGUAGGUAACAAAGAUCAAGAUGGUCAAUAUAAUAGAUCAGCUAAGCAAAUAUCCCAUAGAAAAGUUAGUUAUCUAUUGUUUAGAAUAGCAGAUACUUCAGAACUCAAUACACUUGGCGGCGACCUUGAAACUCAUUCACAGAGUUUUGAAAUAACUCUAUGCUAAUGUGAAACCUAACCCACUUCACCAAAAGACCCCCAUACUAUAUCAUUUAGUGUCAACUCAUCAACAACAAUAACAGAAAAGAUUGUGGCGAAUCUUUGGAUUCAACUGCCAGGAAAAUGACAUAGAUGAAGACGUAAAGUUUGAGUGCGGAGUGUGUCUAUUUAAUCUUCAAUGACAAACAGCAAAACGGCUUAAUUAAGAGUUGCUACUGUGUUUAUCUAUGAGGCGGCUCAGAACAAAAGGCUUUUUAAUUUGCUUCACGAGAUUUUGCAUUUAAGUUACAGAUUAAAAUGUUAAUGUUUAACAAAUGCGCCAGAUCAAAAUAAUAAAUAUUUUGGUCUAGGCCGCUAAAAUGCUUAAAAAGAUAUCAUAAAAUACGCUUAAGACGUACGACGUAAUAUCGCGUAAUAUUAGAUACUCUAGUUAGUUGUCUUAUUGCUUAAUUUAAAUUAAUUUAUUCAUAAAACCGAAUAUCAAAUGUUAAAUUAUAGAAAAUAGCGAACAACAAAGAA